GACGAACGCUGGCGGCGUGCCUAAUACAUGCAAGUAGAACGCUGAAGAGAGGAGCUUGCUCUUCUUGGAUGAGUUGCGAACGGGUGAGUAACGCGUAGGUAACCUGCCUUGUAGCGGGGGAUAACUAUUGGAAACGAUAGCUAAUACCGCAUAACAAUGGAUGACACAUGUCAUUUAUUUGAAAGGGGCAAUUGCUCCACUACAAGAUGGACCUGCGUUGUAUUAGCUAGUAGGUGAGGUAAUGGCUCACCUAGGCGACGAUACAUAGCCGACCUGAGAGGGUGAUCGGCCACACUGGGACUGAGACACGGCCCAGACUCCUACGGGAGGCAGCAGUAGGGAAUCUUCGGCAAUGGGGGCAACCCUGACCGAGCAACGCCGCGGGAGUGAAGAAGGUUUUCGGACCGUAAAGCUCUGUUGUAAGUCAAGAACGGGUGUGAGAGUGGAAAGUUCACACUGUGACGGUAGCUUACCAGAAAGAGACGGCUAACUACGUG
rnacentral:rRNA from 1 species